rnacentral:misc_RNA from 1 species
GAUGAAGAACGUAGCGAAAUGCGAUACUUGGUGUGAAUUGCAGAAUCCCGUGAACCGUCGAGUCUUUGAACGCAAGUUGCGCCCGAAGCCAUUAGGCCGAGGGCACGCCUGCCUGGGUGUCACACACCGUUACCCUCGCGCCAACGUCCAUCGUUGGCCGCGGCGCAGGGCGUGCGCUGACCUCCCGCGAGCGGGGUCUCGUGGUUGGUUGAAAAUCGAGUUCGCGGUCGAGGGUGCCGUGAUGAAAUGGUGGAUGGGCGACGCCCGAGGCCAAUCACGCGCGACUCUGUCCGGCUCGGACUCCUGGACCCCUUCGGCGUCUCCGGACGCUCUUUGGUGAGACCUCAGGUCAGGCGGGGCUACCCGCUGAGUUUAAGCAUAUCAAUAAGCGGAGG